CUCAGGUGAUCCACCUGCCUCGGCCUCUCAAAGUGCUGGGAUUACAGGCGUGAGCCACCAUGCCUGGCAUAUAUGGCAAAGUUUUAACACCAUUUUUUACUAAGAUAAGUAUCAUAAAGGACUUUGUAAAGAAUAUAUUACAACCGAUCAGGCCAGUGGCUUUUUGUUUGUUUGUUUAGCAGGAUUUGAUUGAACCUCAUCAUGCUAUAGAUCUUCCAUUCAGGGAUGAUGAUGUGGGCAUAGUUCAGUGGAGGCUGCCUGCAAUGAAACUGGGCAGAGGCAAGAAUCGAGAGAUCAGCUUUAGCCCAGCUCCCAGGAGCACCAGAGUUAAGAAGGAUAUCUCCUAGAGGGAAAGCCAGAGACCAGGCAAGGGAACAUACAUGAACACCCAGCCUGUGCUCUGGUGUGAGGUUGCAACAGGAGUAGGAUUGGUUCAAUCAGCAUAUUUUCUUUCAUGUACUAGGUUGAAAGUAUUAGUCCAUUUUAUAGAUGAAGAAAUGGAGGCCCAGAGAGAUCACGUGACUUAGCCAAGUCCACCAACUAAUAUUGGGAAGCUCAGCAGGGUCCUGGGGGCCCACAGGAAUGUGAAUAAACACGCUUGGAAAGUCUGCAGAAUUUCCAGUCCUAGCCUCCUGCUGGUGUGAACCUGGGCUCCUGUGCCUGGGACCCUGGGAGAUUUGGGAUUAAGCCUUAUUUUGCAUUGGGUUUAAUCUCAACAGACACCGAGGGGCACCUGGAGUCCCUGCAAAACCUUGUCUGGUAUCAGCUACCUAUCAGAGGAUGCAGAGGACAAGGGCCUAGGGGAUGCCAAAUUCCAGGGUCCAGAAAGAGCUUGGGAUAAAAUGAACAUCCAAGGGGAGGGCUUUGACCUGGGCUGAGUCUGCCUGUGCCGAGUCUGCCUGUGCCAUCCAACUGGAGUCUCAAGUCCUGAGGCAGGACGUCCAGAUGCCCCAGUGCAGGGUCCUCCUGAUCAACACCUGCUCCCCUGUACUCAUUAGCAACCUCACCCACCCUACUCUCAAAGCACACUUGGCUCUCAUAUCCAGGAGCUCUGCAUCUGUAGAUUCAGCAACAGCAGAUGGAAAAUAUUCAGAAAAUAAAUUGGACAGUUAUAUUUCUAUUGAA
rnacentral:lncRNA from 1 species